rnacentral:rRNA from 1 species
AGCAGCCGCGGUAAUUCCAGCUCCAAUAGCGUAUAUUAAAGUUGCUGCAGUUAAAAAGCUCGUAGUUGAAUUUCGGGACUAAUAUGUCGGUCGUGCCUCGGUACGUACUGGUUUAUUGGUUUCUCCUUUCUGAAGAACCAUGAUGUCAUUUAUUUGGUGUCGUGGGGAAUCAGGACUGUUACUUUGAAAAAAUUAGAGUGUUUAAAGCAGGCUCACGCUUGAAUACAUUAGCAUGGAAUAAUGAAAUAGGACGUUUGAUUCUAUUUUGUUGGUUUCUAGGAUCGACGUAAUGAUUAAUAGGGAUAGUUGGGGGCAUUAGUAUUCAAUUGUCAGAGGUGAAAUUCUUGGAUUUAUUGAAGACUAACUACUGCGAAAGCAUUUGCCAAGGAUGUUUUCAUUAAUCAAGAACGAAAGUUAGGGGAUCGAAGACGAUCAGAUACCGUCGUAGUCUUAACCAUAAACUAUGCGACUAGGGAUCGGAUGAUGUAAUUUUUUAAUGUACUCAUUCGGCGCCUUACGG